CUCUGAUUCAAAUGGAAGACGCGCAUUUCAUUACACCUGUCAAGUAGCUCAGUGAAGCAUCUCAGAUUUGCUACGUGAAGAUAACAUUAAAUGGGGCAGUGAAGUUUCACCGUGCGUGUGUGAACUAUUUGCAGCCUGGUCAAACGACGCAGUAAGGCUGAUCCUGUCAAAUAAGUAUGCAAGCUACCUGACGGCCGAAUAGCUGGUUCGCUAAGCUAACAUCAGCUGAUGAGGACUACCAUCUCUCUUGUUUGCUCUGGUCGUGUGGGGAAAGUGUUUACAGCUGUUUGUUUCAUUGAGGACAUGAUAUCCAUUUCCUUCAUGACAAACUUGCGCUGACAUUGAUUUUAACUGGAUUUUGCCUGGAUCCUCAACUCAUUUAAUGAGACAGCGCCCCGGCCACGGUCAUCAAUACUUCAGGAGGAUUGGAGGCAGUGCUGUUUUAUUCAUCUUUGAUUUUACCCACUGCGUUCAGGUGCUCCUACCUCAGCAUCUCAUCAUAGGAGAUAUACCACUGCAUUGGAAUGAAGACUUCUGUUUGACAUUGAUGCACCUUUGUGGUAUUAUAUGCAAAUGGACCUGGAUGAAGUUGGAUGGUGUUUGAUGUGCAAAUGAUGAUUUUGGGGCACUGCAAAUGUGCACACCGCUGCUUUUCUGUUAAUUGCCUUCCCCGGGGAGUCAAGAAACGUUAUUAGUAAAAAAUGAAUGUAAGCACAAGUGGACAGGUUUCAGCUUUCAGGGUCUGAACCAGCAGAAGAAGUG